rnacentral:rRNA from 1 species
AGAGUUUGAUCCUGGCUCAGAGUGAACGCUGGCGGCGUGGAUUAGGCAUGCAAGUCGAGCGAUUCUUGCUGGUCUUUUGUUGAAGUGCUUGCACGGAUAUAAAAGACUGGCGCUGAAUAGCGGCAAACGGGUGAGUAAUGCGUGAGCAACUUGCCCCUAAGUUAGGGAUAGCUUCGUGAAAACGGAGGUAAUAUCUGAUAGUCCCAAGUCACCUCAUGGUGGUUUGGGUAAAGGUGGGGACCGUAAGGCCUGCCGCUUAGGGAUGGGCUCGCGUCCUAUCAGCUUGUUGGUGGGGUAAUGGCCUACCAAGGCGUAUGACGGGUAGCUGGUCUGAGAGGAUGGUCAGCCACACUGGGACUGAGACACUGCCCAGACUCCUACGGGAGGCUGCAGUCGAGAAUAUUUAGCAAUGGGCGAAAGCCUGACUAUGCGACGCCGCGUGCAGGAUGAAGGUUUUCGGAUCGUAAACUGCUUUUGUUAGGAAAGAAAAUCACUAUAGAAAUACUGUAGUGACUGACGGUACCUGACGAAUAAGCCACGGCCAACUCCGUGCCAGCAGCCGCGGUAAUACGGAGGUGGCAAGCGUUACUCGGAAUCAUUGGGUGUAAAGGGCAAGUAGGCGGCUUGAUAAGUGAGGGGUGAAAUCUCCCGACUCAAUCGGGAAAUUGCCUUUCAAACUGUCAAGCUUGAGGUAGGAAGAGGGAAAUGGAAUUCUCGGUGUAAGGGUGAAAUCUGUAGAUAUCGAGAAGAACACCGGCGGCGAAGGCGAUUUCCUGGUCCUAUCCUGACGCUAAAUUGCGAAAGCUAGGGGAGCAAACAGAAUUAGAUACUCUGGUAGUCCUAGCCGUAAACGAUGAGCACUAGGUGUUGGGGCGUAAGCCUCGGUGCCGCAGCUAACGCAUUAAGUGCUCCACCUGGGGACUACGGUCGCAAGGCUAAAACUCAAAGGAAUUGACGGGGGCCCGCACAAGCGGUGGAACAUGUGGUUUAAUUCGAUGAUACGCGAGGAACCUCACCAGGGCUUGACAUAUAGAUAGUAGUGAACCGAAAGGGGAACGAGCCGUCAAGUCCGGCAAGCUAUACAGGUGCUGCAUGGCUGUCGUCAGCUCGUGUCGUGAGAUGUUGGGUUAAGUCCCGCAACGAGCGCAACCAUUUUUCCAUGUUGCCACUCUUUUCAUUUUCCACUUCGGUGGGAUAGGGAAGAAGCACUCGUGGGAGACUGCCUGGGAUAACCAGGAGGAAGGUGGAGAUGACGUCAAGUCAGUACGGCCCUUAUGCCCUGGGCUACACACCUGUUACAAUGGUCGAUACAAAGGGUUGCCAACCCGCGAGGGGGAGCCAAUCUCUAAAAAUCGGCCUCAGUUCAGAUUGGAGUCUGCAAUCCGACUCCAUGAAGCCGGAAUCGCUAGUAAUGGGAGAUCAGCACGCUCCCGUGAAUACGUUCCCGGGCCUUGUACACACCGCCCGUCAAGCGAUGGGAGCUGGGAGUACCCGAAGUCCUAUGUAGAUAGGCCGAAGGUAAAUCUGGCGACUGGCGCUAAGUCGUAACAAGGUA